rnacentral:rRNA from 1 species
UACGAAGGGGGCUAGCGUUGCUCGGAAUCACUGGGCGUAAAGCGCACGUAGGCGGCUUUUUUAAGUCAGGGGUGAAAUCCUGGAGCUCAACUCCAGAACUGCCUUUGAUACUGGCGAUCUCGAGUCCGGGAGAGGUGAGUGGAACUGCGAGUGUAGAGGUGAAAUUCGUAGAUAUUCGAAGAACACCAGUGGCGAAGGCGGCUCACUGGUCCGGUACUGACGCUGAGGUGCGAAAGCGUGGGGAGCAAACAGGG